rnacentral:rRNA from 1 species
GUGGGGAAUCUUGCGCAAUGGGCGAAAGCCUGACGCAGCAACGCCGCGUGGGGGAUGAAGGCUCUCGGGUUGUAAACCCCUUUCAGCAGGGACGAACUAAGACGGUACCUGCAGAAGAAGCCCCGGCUAACUACGUGCCAGCAGCCGCGGUAACACGUAGGGGGCAAGCGUUGUCCGGAUUUAUUGGGCGUAAAGAGCUCGUAGGUGGCUGAGUAAGUCGGAUGUUAAAUCCCCAGGCUCAACCUGGGACACCACCCGAUACUGCUCUGGCUAGAGUCCGGUAGGGGAGCGUGGAAUUCCUGGUGUAGCGGUGAAAUGCGCAGAUAUCAGGAGGAACACCAGCGGCGAAGGCGGCGCUCUGGGCCGGUACUGACACUGAGGAGCGAAAGCGUGGGUAGCAAACAGGAUUAGAAACCCUUGUAGUCC